rnacentral:rRNA from 1 species
GCUUAACACAUGCAAGUCGAGCGAGAAUCGUUUUGCUGAAGGCUUCGGUCUGACGCAGAAUGAGGAAAGCGGCGAACGGAUGAGUAACGCGUGGGCAACCUGGCCUUAAGAAAAGGAUAGCCCCCGGAAACGGGGAGUAAUACUUUAUGAGAAUAGAAAAGGGCAUCCUAUUUCUAUUCAAAGCGCAAGCGCUUAAGGACGGCCCGCGUAUCAUUAGCUAGUUGGUGAGAUAACAGCCCACCAAGGCAACGAUGAUUAGCCGGUCUGAGAGGGCGAACGGCCACAUUGGAACUGAGAGACGGUCCAAACUCCUACGGGAGGCAGCAGUGGGGAAUAUUGCGCAAUGGAGAAGAACUCUGACGCAGCAAUACCGCGUGAGCGAAGAAGGUCUUCGGGUCGUAAAGCUCUGUUAUCAGGGAAGAAGAAAAUGACGGUACCUGAUGAGCAAGUCCCGGCUAACUCCGUGCCAGCCGCCGCAGUAA